AUCUAUGGAUUUUAGGAUCCCAGUUAAGUGUACAUCUCAAUCUAAAAUACUUGCCUUACUUCACCAAACUUCCACGUUCUAUAACCUAGCCGCCAACCUUUCUCUUCUAAUUCAUGGAGCUAAUCACGUCCUCUAACCUGGCCAGCAUCCAACUUCCUGAUCUUGGUGAAGGCCGGCCAUACUCAGGUACAUCUUCCAUCUGCUUUGCCAUGACACUUCAUGCCUCUUUUAGAAGAAAAAUAUUCUUCUGUCACUGCCUGCAGUGUCCGUUAGUGAUGAGGGUUCCAAUCCUGGCAUCUAUCCAAUCCUUUGCCUAGAUAGUUAAAGCAACGCACGAAUGCCACGCUGCCACCGUUGUCGAUGAGACAUGGUGUGUUUCAUCGAUCGUUCUGUGCAUCUGCUCAUCUGCAAAUUACAACGGUAAGAAUUCAACCUGAAAUCCUCUCAGCACAUGUCACUUUGACUUGCAGGCCUGCAGCAGCAACAGCGACCACAGCUGGCCUCCCGGAGUCGUCAAUGACUGCAACAUCGUCCACAUGCACGACCUUACCAUCAUUUUAUCCUCUAUUUAUGAGGAACCUAAUACGUUGAAUAUUUUCAGUGAGGUCUGCCGGCCGGUACUUUUCUCAGUGUAUCAAAUACCCGUACGUGGUGGAUUGAUACCGUAGAGAUGUUCAAGUACAUCAUAUUGCAUUCAAGGCUGCUGGAUGCAUGGAUCGAUUCUGAAAUAACAAAGGACGCACGUACGGUCCUAUUUUUUCUUGCACCCCCUCAGCUUUGUGUAGUUAAUGCCAAACGCACACUGUCACUGUUGUGUAUUCUUCUUGCUUUGCUGACUCUUUUCCGGUUGUAUUCACUGCAUGCACAUCACUACAUCAGCACAGUCAAUUUGCAAUCUUAUUGCAUGUGACGCAUGCACCAUGCAGCCUUAUAAGAUGGAUGGAGUCAUGGAAGAUUGCCUUAUUCACAUAAGAAGAAAGCCUAGAGCCAUCUAAAGUCACGAGAUUGGUAUAUUUCUUUUGGCUACUUCAUCUAUUCCUAAUGCUAUCUAGCAAGUUAAUUUUAGAGGAGCUUCAUUUGGACGCAUACAGUAAAAAUCUAAAUCAUAUAUUCCUAAUGCUAUCUAGCAAGUCAAUUUUAGAUUACUUAUGGACCCUAAACUGAAAGUGUAAUAUUAUUUGUGACAUCUUUUUAUGCCAAUAGUACUACUUAAUUUACCAAGUAUUCUUCAUUCUCCAAUAUUAUGAUACUUUGCUUAUUCUCCAAAUUAUGUAUGUACCAUGCUCAUGAGAUAUAAAUAUGUUUUACUAUUGUUUAAAGUUAAUCAACUAAUGAUGUUUUUAAUGAUAUCCAAUGAACGUUUACCCAUCAUAUAGUACAAUAGAAGACAAAUGAUAUGCUUACUUUCAGGUAUACAAAAUAUGUGGACUAAGUGUAAAUUGGAUUACCGCCUCAUGUUUCUAAAGUCUCUGUUUAGAGCUAUUUGAAAUAAACAAUUAACAUAUAUUUUUUGAGUCAUGUCCAUGGAAACCUAAUUAGUUGUCAUGUGUUUUUACAACAAUACAUAUCAUUUUCCGGUGUUACAAGUUACUUUCCUGACUUUUGUAGUAUGUUUCGAUAUAUUUCUAGAUGUUUUAAUUGUUAUGUGCAAAUAAUCUUAUAAAAUAUUAAUCUAUGGGUUACAUUAUAUAUAAUUUGUUUAUGUUACAUACAUGUAACAUGUGAAGUGAAAUAUAAAAAUAUUAGAAUAUAAUAUGUCAUCUAACUAGCCCGUGCGGAUGCAUGGGUUGACGAUUUUAACCAGAAGUCUUGCGCUGCAGGAUUCCUAGCCCACCACAGCGUCUCUUCAACCCUGAACCAGUUUAUGCUGCGCCUCUGCAACCUUAUUGGUCACCGUAGUCCAUGCAACAGCUAUCAUGAGGGCCUAUUGUCGUUACCGCGCAGCCCACGUUUAUCUGCUUGCUGCUAUUUCUGCUAUCGCUGAAACCAACCAGGAGUUACUGGCCUUAAGGCACCAAGGUAAAUUCUUAAUGUUCUUCUAUUUUUGUUUAUUCACAUAACAUAGUUAGAUUCUUUUAUUGUGCCUUGCUAAAAUCCACUUGAGCCAGUAAACCUUUUAAACUUGUUGCUCCUAAUUAAUUACUUUUAAAUAUGCAUGUGUGAUCUCUUAAANUAUGAUAUUGUAUUAUUAUAAUUGAGACUUGUUUAACUUUUGUAGGAAGCAAAGAAAAGGACAACACUCAAACAAAAGGAGAACACUCACAAGGAACCAUGAAGCCAGCGAUCCGUGUCACCUGGAUAUUUAGCCUUUAUUUUUUACAACACAUGUCUCAUACUAGCAUCUUUUAGCUGUCAUUUUUGUGAACCUGAUGUAUGGUGUCCUGGUGGUUAUGCUUGGAACAGAGUGUAUGUGAAAUUAAUUAAUGGNNN
rnacentral:lncRNA from 1 species